GAUGAACGCUAGCGGCAGGCCUAACACAUGCAAGUCGAGGGGUAGCAGGAUUAAGCUUGCUUAAUUGCUGACGACCGGCGCCCGGGUGCGUAACGCGUAUGCAACCUACCUUAUACUGGGGUAUAGCCCGGAGAAAUUCGGAUUAAUCCCCCAUAGUACUAAUGAAUCGCAUGGUUUAUUAGUUAAAGCAUUGCGGUAUAAGAUUGGCAUGCGUCCUAUUAGCUAGAUGGUGAGGUAACGGCUCACCAUGGCUACGAUAGGUAGGGGGCCUGAGAGGGUGGUCCCCCACACUGGUACUGAGACACGGACCAGACUCCUACGGGAGGCAGCAGUGAGGAAUAUUGGUCAAUGGGCGCAAGCCUGAACCAGCCAUGCCGCGUGCAGGAAGAAUGCCCUAUGGGUUGUAAACUACUUUUAUUUGGGAAUAAACCUCUUUACGUGUAGAGAGCUGAAGGUACCAAAUGAAGAAGCCCCGGCUAACUCCGUGCCAGCAGCCGCCGUAA
rnacentral:rRNA from 1 species